CCUACGGGAGGCAGCAGUGGGGAAUAUUGGACAAUGGGGGCAACCCUGAUCCAGCAAUACCGCGUGUGUGAAGAAGGCCUGAGGGUUGUAAAGCACUUUCAAUUGUGAAGAAAAGCUAACGGUUAAUAACCGUUAGCCUUGACGUUAACUUUAGAAGAAGCACCGGCUAACUCCGUGCCAGCAGCCGCGGUAAUACGGAGGGUGCAAGCGUUAAUCGGAAUUACUGGGCGUAAAGCGUGCGUAGGCGGUUUAUUAAGUCAGAUGUGAAAGCCCCGGGCUUAACCUGGGAACUGCAUUUGAAACUGGUCAACUAGAGUAUGGUAGAGGAAAGUGGAAUUUCUGGUGUAGCGGUGAAAUGCGUAGAUAUCAGAAGGAACAUCAAUGGCGAAGGCAGCUUUCUGGACCAAUACUGACGCUGAGGUACGAAAGCGUGGGUAGCAAACAGGAUUAGAUACCCUGGUAG
rnacentral:rRNA from 1 species